rnacentral:misc_RNA from 1 species
GAUGAAGAACGUAGCGAAAUGCGAUAAGUAAUGUGAAUUGCAGAAUUCAGUGAAUCAUCGAAUCUUUGAACGCAUCUUGCGCUCCUUGGUAUUCUGAGGAGCAUCCCUGUUUGAGUGUCAUUAAAUUCUCAACUACACUGACUUUGAAUUGGUGUGGCUUGGAUUUGGGGGGAAAAUUGUUGUGGGCUUUUUGUAUAGUCUGCUCCCCUGAAAUUGAUUAGCGGUACCUUUGUGGAACUGUCUACAGGUGUGAUAAUUAUCUACAUCUUAGACAUCUGCUGGAAUGCUGCUUUCUAAACCUUACUUGUAUUGACAAUCUUGACCUUAAAUCAGGUAGGACUACCCGCUGAACUUAAGCAUAUCAAUAAGCGGAGGA